GUGAACAUCAGGAAUACUCUGUAGAAAUAGGACCUCAACAUUUCUGUGGCUUACCCAGAAAGGCAGAAUUUCUAUGUAUAAAGUUAAUUUGUAGUAUUGCUUGAAUGAGCAACAUAUAGAGUGAAUGACUAGGAACUAAUGACAAACACCUGGCCAGAGAUGGGUGUUCCGCUGCUCUAGGUUGCUCCCUUAGUGUUGAAGGCCCCGAGUUCCAGGGACUCAUAGGCUGGGUUUCAGUUCCAAGCUGUCAAAGCUGGAGGCUUAUUAUUGCUUCAGGUACUCAAGGCAGAGGCCCGUUGCUCAGGAUGUGGAGUGCCCAGCAAACAGUAGGUAGACAUCCAUGCGAGGGUGGGUUUUGGUGAUGCAGCUGUCUUUGAGUCAUUUUUGCUCACAUAUCUUUGUAUGUAACACAAAUAAAACUAAUUGGUCCACCAAGUUGGACUUUGACAGUAUCCGCCCUUUGGUCUCUCAUCAGUUUCCUGUCUGGCAUGAGUAGGCACUUGUUCUCAUCUGCCCAGGAAUAGUGUCUCAGCUUUUCCCCGUGGCAUCUAUGGUGCAUUUAAAGCAGCCACAAUGCCUCGAGGACAGCCUGUCAGUUGCUGAGGCGAGUUGCUUGCCAGGUGUCCAUGGGGGAAGAGUUGGUCCUUUGCAGCUGUCUGGCCAGUCUAUACAGUAGCUGAAGGGGACUCCAACACAGUGCUAUUAAUCAAGGAAGAAAGUUAAAGUGUCUGCUUUCCAACUGUGGCAGAGAAACAGCAGAAAAUGACCUUGUCAUUCAGUUCAGCGCUUCCAACCUCACUGAAGAGCUGGCAGGAAAAUGUCAGGAUUGAUCUACCAAAUCUAUCCAGGCACGGAGAUACAAUGCCAUAACCCAAGGCAGCCGCUGCUGAUUUAUGUUUCCAAUGACGUAAUUUGGUAGCAUUGGCAAAUGAAAAGAGAAAACCCAGCAAAUUUGUUGCUUACCUGGCUCGUUUCUAUUUCCAGCUCGUGAAAAAUGGCUUCCACAUGUAGGUUUAAGGGCUGGGAGAAAAAUAGUUGGGGGCUGGUUGUGCAGCUCAGUUAGCAGAGUGAUUUUUGACACGGAAGGACCUUUUCAUCAUUCUCCUCCCAUUCUUGGUGACAAGAAGUAACAGCUGCAAUACAGACUAAAACAUCUGGUCCAUUCCAAGUUCAACCAUGAAGGCACCAAGAUUAAGUGAACAGCAGCGCGGUCAUCUGCUGCCCUCUGCUGACGGAAUGUGAACAUGCGGUAAACACAUUGUCAUGCGGAAAAGGCGAGUGUAGUUUUAGCAUCAAGAGAGUAACACUAAAAGAAAAAACGUUAAUGGGAGCUGGGGGGGGAUGCUUAAGAGUGUAUACUUA